rfam:Octopus bimaculoides Scaffold125841_contig_73, whole genome shotgun sequence.
GCCCGGCUAGCUCAGUUGAUAGAGCACAAGACUCUUAAUCUCGGGGUUGUGGGUUCAUGCCCCACGUUGGGCA